rnacentral:rRNA from 1 species
GAUGAACGCUGGCGGCGUGCCUAAUACAUGCAAGUCGAGCGAACAGACGAGGAGCUUGCUCCUUCGACGUUAGCGGCGGACGGGUGAGUAACACGUAGGUAACCUACCUAUAAGACUGGGAUAACUUCGGGAAACCGGAGCUAAUACCGGAUAAUAUUUCGAACCGCAUGGUUCGAUAGUGAAAGAUGGCUUUGCUAUCAUUUAUAGAUGGACCUGCGCCGUAUUAGCUAGUUGGUAAGGUAACGGCUUACCAAGGCAACGAUACGUAGCCGACCUGAGAGGGUGAUCGGCCACACUGGAACUGAGACACGGUCCAGACUCCUACGGGAGGCAGCAGUAGGGAAUAUGCCGCGAGGGGCGAAAGGAUGACGGAGCAACGCCGCGUGAGUGAUGAAGGUCUUCGGAUCGUAAAACUCUGUUAUUAGGGAAGAACAAACGUGUAAGUAACUGUGCACGUCUUGACGGUACCUAAUCAAAAAGCCACGGCUAACUACGUG